GAAAGACGCGCAUUUGUUAUCAUCAUCCCUGUAUUCAGAGAUGUGCAUUUUGGCCACAGUGAUGUGGCCUUUU
rnacentral:sRNA from 1 species